UGCUUUUCAUGAGGGAUGGCCGAUGGGGGGUUUUAACGUUUUAGAAAGUUCAUCAAAAUUUACUGACCUGCGUUUCAUUGAAUAUGUUUUCUAUUCACACUACAGCAUGCUCUUGAAUUUAUUUUGUCAUAUGUAUGUAGCAUUAGCACUGACUGCGCUAAUAAGUAUUUGCAGCGCCGAUAAGUAUUCGACCUAACCCUAACCCUCAAAAACGGAGGCACCGAAACGGCGGCGCUGGAACGGCAGCGCCGAAAAGUACCCGGCCCCUCCCUGUGACCGCCUGGGUUUUUUAUCCGGGUGCUCCGGUUUCCUCCCACAUCCCAAAGACGUGCAGGUUAAUUGGCUUUCUGUAAAUUGUCUCCAGUCUGUUGGAUAGAACUAGUUUAUGGGGAUCACUGGUCGGCAUGGACUCGGUGGGCCGAAGGGCCUGUUUCAACGCAGUAUCUCUAAAAUCUAAAUCUAAAAUAAAACCGCGAUCGCUAGGGCUGUGAGAGAGCCGCACUAACCUGUGGGCCUCUGUGCCUGCAUGAUCUCAAGCAUUAGUUAUCCCUCCUGCAUCAAGUUAGAUACUUGCUGAAGCUGGCCCAGAGGGGGCCUCCCAGCCUGACCGCUGAUCACAUCAUUUCCUCCAUCAGUCGCUGUACAGAGAUCAGAGGACAUUGCUUCCCCUCUCCUCACACAAUGCAGUCUCUUGUCGUGCAGCCACAAGGCCGGUCAACUAUGUACUUUAAGCUGCUGAUGAUGCCUCAAACCUUCUUAUGCCUACAGCUUGUUACCACAGCAUUAUAAACUAAGAGAAAGCAUAUUUACUCAGCACAUUCCUUCAGCAUAUAAAGCCUGAGUGAGGAAAAGGUGGUAUCUCCGGUUGCUCUGCGGUCUAACAUCAUGGAGCUGGAGGCCUUGCUCAGGACUGACUUUGAGCCCGACCGCGGGCCGUGGACUUGCAUCGUAGCCGAUUCCUUGCCUGGGAUCGAUGCUCCAAUCGCAGCCUGCGGACUUUAACAUCAUGGAGCUCUCAGUCUCGGGUAGAGACCGAGUCGGGAGCUCCAACAACACAGAAGAAUCAACUACCCCUGACCCGGGGUCAGCUCGCCGAAUUGGGGGAGCUGACAUCCCCCCGAUGCAGGAGUUUGAUCCCCCCGAUGUGGAUGGCCCGCCGCGGCUACGGGUCAGGAUCAUCCCGUCAACAGAAGGCUCAAGGCUCCCGACUGCUGGAGAACAAAGAAGGGAAGAGAUUGAACUUUUUUUCGCCUUCCAAUACAGUGAAGAGUGUGGAGAAGUCACUGUGGUGGAUGUUCAUGUUACAAUGUAUUUUGUGUGUUCUGUUGCUUUUUAUUAGUAUGACUGUGUGGCAAAUCAAAUUCCUCGUAUGUUGCGAAAUACUUGGCUAAUAAAAUAUGAUUAUGAUUAUAG